AGUGAACGCUGGCGGUAGGCCUAACACAUGCAAGUCGAACGGCAGCACAGUAAGAGCUUGCUCUUACGGGUGGCGAGUGGCGGACGGGUGAGGAAUACAUCGGAAUCUACUUUUUCGUGGGGGAUAACGUAGGGAAACUUACGCUAAUACCGCAUACGACCUACGGGUGAAAGCAGGGGAUCUUCGGACCUUGCGCGAUUGAAUGAGCCGAUGUCGGAUUAGCUAGUUGGCGGGGUAAAGGCCCACCAAGGCGACGAUCGGUAGCUGGUCUGAGAGGAUGAUCAGCCACACUGGAACUGAGACACGGUCCAGACUCCUACGGGAGGCAGCAGUGGGGAAUAUUGGGCAAUGGGCGCAAGCCUGAUCCAGCCAUACCGCGUGGGUGAAGAAGGCCUUCGGGUUGUAAAGCCCUUUUGUUGGGAAAGAAAAGCAGCAGGUUAAUACCCCGCUGUUCUGACGGUACCCAAAGAAUAAGCACCGGCUAACUUCGUG
rnacentral:rRNA from 1 species